rnacentral:lncRNA from 10 species
CCACCUCUCCCAGCCGCAUUGUGCCUUCUUUGAGGCCAGGGCUCCAGCUACGCCUCUCCGUGGCCUUGGCAGUUCUCUAGGUAGAUGCUUCCCAACUCACUGAUGGGCCAGGAGUGAGGUGUGGGGCUGCCUCGCUUAGCCCAGGCCCUGUGGAGACUGCAGUCUGAGAAGCUGGGCCUCUGUGCAGAGGGGCCUCCUGGUCGUCAGAGCAGCCUCACCUGGGGGUUCUGACCCCACCUUGGUGGGGGCCUUCUCUCACCACAAACAAACACGGUGGAACCAGCACCCUGCCCUGCCCAGCCAGCAACUGGGGGAGACUGGGAGCACCGGGGUUAGCCUCUGCAGGAGGCUUCUGGCCCCACUGGCCCUCUGACAGGGACCAGAAACCACGUGGCGAGGCUGGGUGCAUAUUCACAUGAGAGAGAACGCCACAGCAACCCUGAGACAACAAGAACACUUUCCUGACAGAUGCUGGAGA